rnacentral:RNase_P_RNA from 1 species
UGAGUGGGCCGGACGGCCGCGGCGCGGUACGCCCGCGCUGAGGAAAGUCCGAACUCCGCAGAGCACGGUGCUGGGUAACACCCAGGCGAGGCGACUCGACGGCAAGUGCAACAGAGAGCAGGUCGCCCCGGGCGCCUUUGGGCGCGGCGGGGUGAGAGUGAAAGGGUGGUGUAAGAGACCACCGGCGGCCCGGGUGACCGGGCCGGCCAGGCAAACCCCAUCGGGAGCAAGACCAAGCAUGAGGCUGACGGCGCGCCGCAAGGUGGCGUUCGUUACGGGCUGCUCGCCCGCGCCUCGGGUAGGUCGCGCGAGGCUCCGAGUAAUCGGCGCCCCAGAUAGAUGGCCGUCGGCCCCGCGAGGGGCCACAGAAUUCGGCUUACAGGCUCACUCAGUAC